CUAGAUUCUGCUUGGCCUCUCUGAGCAUGCAUUCCUUCCUUCUGGAUAUAGGGCAGAAGCCUCUCUGGAAUGAGGAUCUUAUGACCUACAGUCAAAAAUGUUAGCCCAGGCUGAUGGAGGUUUUGCCAGCUUGAACAUGUAGUUUCCAAAAUGACUCUGGUUAUCAAUAUCCAUCCAGUAGAAGGAGAAAGAGGAAGAAGAUUGUGUGGUAGAAGACUGAAUGAGCCAGUCCUGGAGUCCCUACUACUCAUACUCCAUUGGCCGGAACUCAGUCACAUGGCCACAUCUGACCAUGAGGCAGUCUGGGAAAUGGAUUCCAGCUGUGUUCCAAUGAGGAAGCAGGUUCGAUGAAGAUCUAACCAAUCUCUCUCUCACAGAGGUAUCAAAAAGCAUUAAAGAAAGGCAGUGCUAUUUUCCUUUCAAAUUCUACUCCAACUCAUUCUCUUACUCUGUAAAUAGCUUCAGCAUCUGCUCAACUUUCCACAUUAUUUCAGUCACUAAGUCUGUACUAGUCCAUUUUCAUACUGCUAUAAAGAACUGCCUGAGACUGGGUAAUUUAUAAAAGAAAAAGGUUUAUUGACUCACAGUUCAGCAUGGCUUGGGAGGCCUCAGGAAACUUACAAUCAUGACAAAAGGUGAAGAGGAAGUAAGGCACCUCCUUCACUAGGUGAAAGGAAGGAGAAGUGUUGAGCGAAGGGGGAAGAUCCCAUUAUAAAACCAUCAGAUCUCGUGAGAACUCUCACCAUCACAAGAACAGCAGGGGGGAACAGCCCCCAUGAUUCAAUUACCUCCACCUGGUCCCACCCUCCACACAUGGAGAUUAUGGGAAUUAAAAUUUGAGAUGAGAUUUAUGUGGGGAAAAGAGCCAAACCAUAUCAAAGUCCGUUUGUUUUCUCAUUCAUUUAACAAACAUUUUCUGGCUAUUAAUCAUUUUGCCAGGAACUGUGCUAGACACUGGGAACAUAAUAGUGAAAAAGAC
rnacentral:lncRNA from 10 species